UGGAGAAGUUGAUCCUGGCUCAGAUUGAACGCUGGCGGCAGGCCUAACACAUGCAAGUCGAGCGGAAACGAGUUAUCUGAACCUUCGGGGAACGAUAACGGCGUCGAGCGGCGGACGGGUGAGUAAUGCCUAGGAAAUUGCCCUGAUGUGGGGGAUAACCAUUGGAAACGAUGGCUAAUACCGCAUAACACCUACGGGUCAAAGAGGGGGACCUUCGGGCCUCUCGCGUCAGGAUAUGCCUAGGUGGGAUUAGCUAGUUGGUGAGGUAAUGGCUCACCAAGGCGACGAUCCCUAGCUGGUCUGAGAGGAUGAUCAGCCACACUGGAACUGAGACACGGUCCAGACUCCUACGGGAGGCAGCAGUGGGGAAUAUUGCACAAUGGGCGCAAGCCUGAUGCAGCCAUGCCGCGUGUGUGAAGAAGGCCUUCGGGUUGUAAAGCACUUUCAGUCGUGAGGAAGGUAGUGUAGUUAAUAGCUGCAUUAUUUGACGUUAGCGACAGAAGAAGCA
rnacentral:rRNA from 1 species